rnacentral:rRNA from 1 species
AACGAACGCUGGCGGCAUGCCUAACACAUGCAAGUCGAACGAACCCUUCGGGGUUAGUGGCGCACGGGUGCGUAACACGUGGAAUCUGCCCUUUGCUUCGGAAUAACAGUUAGAAAUGACUGCUAAUACCGGAUGAUGUCGUAAGACCAAAGAUUUAUCGGCAAAGGAUGAGCCCGCGUAGGAUUAGGUAGUUGGUGGGGUAAAAGCCUACCAAGCCGACGAUCCUUAGCUGGUCUGAGAGGAUGAUCAGCCACACUGGGACUGAGACACGGCCCAGACUCCUACGGGAGGCAGCAGUGGGGAAUAUUGGACAAUGGGCGAAAGCCUGAUCCAGCAAUGCCGCGUGAGUGAUGAAGGCCUUCGGGUUGG